rnacentral:rRNA from 1 species
GACGAACGCUGGCGGCGUGCUUAACACAUGCAAGUCGAACGGAAAGGCCCUGCUUUUGUGGGGUGCUCGAGUGGCGAACGGGUGAGUAACACGUGAGUAACCUGCCCUUGACUUUGGGAUAACUUCAGGAAACUGGGGCUAAUACCGGAUAGGAGCUCCUGCUGCAUGGUGGGGGUUGGAAAGUUUCGGCGGUUGGGGAUGGACUCGCGGCUUAUCAGCUUGUUGGUGGGGUAGUGGCUUACCAAGGCUGUGACGGGUAGCCGGCCUGAGAGGGUGACCGGCCACAUUGGGACUGCGAUACGGCCCAGACUCCUACGGGAGGCAGCAGUCGGGAAUCUUGCACAAUGGGCGGAAGCCUGAUGCAGCAACGCCGCGUGCGGGAUGACGGCCUUCGGGUUGUAAACCGCUUUCGCCUGUGACGAAGCGUGAGUGACGGUAAUGGGUAAAGAAGCACCGGCUAACUACGUG